GACAUGGUUCCAGGAUGGCUUGCAACUCACUGUGAAGCUCAGGAGCCAUGGUGGCCUGGAGUUUACAUCACCCCUGCCUUUGGUAUGCUGGCAUGACGAGUAUAAGAAUGACACUUGACUAGCAGGAGAGCUUCUUAAGGGCAGGGGACAAGCGAAGAAAGUUGAAAGGAACAUCUGAGCACUUUCCAGCUUUGUUGACUGUGAAUAAAGCCACUAUCAACCUUCUUGUACAGUUGUGAAUGCUUUUUACAGAAAAUGUUUAGCCAUAAGCAUCCAAGAGUGGGAAUCCUAUACACUAUGGAUCUCAUGAAGCCUUGUCUGUUCUUAAACUUCCCAUGUAGCCAAGGUUAUCCUUCUACCCCUGAUCUUCUGGCCUCCACCUAGCAAGCACUGAAAUUUCAGUCAUGUAUCACCACAUCUGGCUUAAAUUUUUCAUUUGAACAUCGUUUCGUGGGUCAUCAGCUUCCUCAGAGGACUAUGGACGUAGCUCAUCUCUGUCCUGUGAGAUCGUUGGUCUUAGCUGAAAUGACUUAAAUGUUGAGAUCUGUCUGAUGCAACUGCUGGGAUCCUGUGUUCAGGCCUCAGUGUCUUUGCUAGGUAGGGUCUUCCACGUACUUUCUUCAUGUAGUUUUCUUGGACUUUCUCACAGCAAAAUGUCUCAGAAUAGUUAAAGUUCUUACCAAUGGCCAAUGUUUUAACUAAUAUUUUAUGUGCUACUCAGUAUAUAUAGAUAUUUUAGUGUAUUCUUUUAAAUAAUUUUGGCUGAAAAUUAAAUAAUCAACAAAAUAUGAGAUACUAAAUCACUCUGCACCAUAUGUGGCUGUUUAAAAAAAUUGACCACCCCUACUAAAUCUGGAGUUGACUGUGUUAAACUAAUAAUAGUUUUGACUGGCCUCAAAAAUCAAUCACAGCAAUUCUUUCACCUCAGCCUCCCAAGUGCUGAGAAGACAAGCAUGUGCCACAAUACAUUGCUUUAUUGUGUUUUAAAAUCAUGCAAAAUAAGAUUGUUAGCCAAGACUCUAAGCAUAGAGCAAACUCAGGUGGCACAGGGAAUGGACGGGCCCAGAACAGAAGUGAGGGAAACACUUGGUGAAGACCCUGGUGAGGCUCAGCUUUGGUAAUUGCUACUAACUAGGAACACGAUAACUGAAUUGGUUAAUUAAUUAGCAAUCUUUUGACAAGUUCAUGUAUUUCUACAUUGAUUGUAAUUGCUCCCAUUGACUCUCUCCUCCAGGUUCCAAUCAAACCAUUCCUCUUGUUAGCUGCACAGCUUCUACUUGUGAUUGGUUAAAAUAAAAUGAAUUAAUAAAAUGC
rnacentral:lncRNA from 1 species